UACGGAGGGGGCAAGCGUUAUUCGGAAUUAUUGGGCGUAAAGGGCGCGUAGGCGGUCAUUCAAGUGACGGGUGAAAGCCCUCGGCUUAACCGAGGAACUGCCUGUCAGACUGGAUGGCUUGAGACCGGGAGAGGUGAGUGGAAUUCCCAGUGUAGCGGUGAAAUGCGUAGAUAUUGGGAGGAACACCAGUGGCGAAGGCGGCUCGCUGGACCGGAACUGACGCUGAGGCGCGAAAGCGUGGGGAGCAAACAGG
rnacentral:rRNA from 1 species